UUGAGCGGAGAUUAUGGAGCUUGCUUUAUAUAACUUAGCAGCGAACGGGUGAGUAACACGUAGAUAAUCUAUCCUAUACUGGGGGAUAGCCCGAUGAAAGUUGGAUUAAUACCGCAUAUAGCUAUAUAGUUGCAUGAUUAUGUAGUGAAAGAUUUAUUGGUAUAGGAGGAGUCUGCGGCACAUUAGCUAGUAGGUGAGGUAAAGGCUUACCUAGGCGACGAUGUGUAGCCGGUCUGAGAGGAUGAACGGCCACAAUGGAACUGAGACACGGUCCAUACUCCUACGGGAGGCAGCAGUGGGGAAUAUUGCACAAUGGGGGAAACCCUGAUGCAGCAACGCCGCGUGAGUGAAGAAGGUUUUCGGAUUGUAAAGCUCUGUUAGCAGGGAAGAGGAAGGACGGUACCUGCAGAGGAAGCCACGGCUAACUACGUGCCAGCAGCCGCGGUAAUACGUAGGUGGCAAGCGUUGUUCGGAAUAACUGGGCGUAAAGGAUGCGUAGGCGGUUAAACAAGUUAUAUGUUAAAUAUAUAGGCUUAACCUGUAGAAAGCAUAUAAAACUGUUUAACUAGAGUGCAGGAGAGGUAAGUGGAAUUCCUAGUGUAGCGGUGAAAUGCGUAGAGAUUAGGAAGAACACCAGUGGCGAAGGCGACUUACUGGACUGUAACUGGCGCUGAGGCAUGAGAGCAUGGGGAGCAAACAGGAUUAGAUACCCUGGUAGUCCAUGCUGUAAACGAUGGGUACUAGGUGUGGGUUGUGAA
rnacentral:rRNA from 1 species